CAACAAUUAUAGGCCACUGUAUGGCUUUCAACAGUGAGGAAAAACCCAUUCUGUAUAGUAAUCUAUAAAAGGCCCUGACAUGAUAAUGAAAUGUUUCAAAUAACCUAAUUUUUAACAAAACAAUUUACGAAAAAAUUAUUAUGACCGAUAUGAAUCAACGACAACUACUGUACUACAUGCUCCUUCCUGACUUUGGACAGGCACAUACAUUAUGUGGCUGGUUAAAUUUGUCUGGGAGUGCUCAACCCUUUCCCUGUGUGUGUGUGUAACAGCACAACAUAAGAACAAACUGAAAAAUUUAAUGCAAUUGGCUCAUUCAAAAGAUUGGUACCAGACCCAGACAAAAAAAAACACUAACGAAAAACAAGACACCAAACACAAAAAAAAAAGAGAGUACUCAGUUACAAAAGCUAGUUCAAAGUCAAAUACUAUUGAUAAAUAAAUCAUUUUAACAUCUAGCAAUAAACACUAAAAAUGAGGCAGAAGUAAAAUAAAACCUGCCAGACUGUCAUAAUAUCCAAAAAUAUUUCCACACACCAAAUAUAGUUGACUUUGCAUACAGUAUCAGAAAAACAUCUCUAACCAC
rnacentral:lncRNA from 1 species